UUCUUCUUUUCUUCGUUUCCUCCGUUAAGAAUCUUUCCCCACGAACAAUCAAUUCCCUCCCCACUCCUGUACAUGCUUUAAUCCCAUUAAUGGGCUCUUUUAAAGUCUCUUAUGCUCCCACGAACAGGCGCUGUAACACUACCGUCGAAACUUUGUCUUCUCAGAUUUUGCAAGGUCAGGAAUCGGGAUGUGAAAAGAAACGGCAAGCUUAUGGGGUCGAUCUACUUCUUCUUGAUGCUAAGCUUAUUCUUUCAAUUCAGGCCCGGAUUGCAAAUCUUCAACGAGUCAUAUGAUUAUGAACUGACGUGAUCAAAUCAGAAGCCAAGCUAAUCCCAUGAGAUCUUCCCGUAAGGGUCAAUACCUAUGGCAAGACAACUGAUUUUACUUCUAAUUUAUAUCAUCAUAUAAUUUAAAAUUAAAACCGAAAACAAUUAUAAAUGAAAUUGUUGGUGUUUAUCUAUCCUUGCAGGCCCAAAUUGCAAACUUUCAAAAGAAAGUUGUUCAAGUAGAUAUCAAAGGUCUUCGUGCCACCACAUCCUUUGGUCAAACACUGGAUAUUUGUCCUGAGAAACGACCAAACUCCUACAGCUAUUUCAGGAAUGCAAUAGCUGAAAUAGGGAGACUUUGAUGUUCGAAGCAUCUCGAGAGUGGCUGGUAUGUCCUUUUUGAUACAUCUUUCUGUUAUUAUGUUUGCUUAUUUUUCUUGAUUUGACACUCUGUCAUGGUGAUUAAGCCAAUGGUUGCUAGAGAAAUCAUGACUCCAGUGGGUGCUGCUUCUGUUGAAUUAAUUGAGCGAAUUAGUUUUAGUUCUAUUGUGCGAGCGUGUCUAAUGCCUAAUUAGUUUUCUUCAGGCAAAAUGGGUCCCAGUUUCGGAUAUUUCUAAGCACUGUUUUCUUUGUACAACAAAGAUGGUACGCGGCAUAUUUUCGAAUUUUCAUCUGGUCUUGAGUCUCUUGACCCUCUUUUCUUUGGAGAAUGUCAAAUCCUUGCAUAUGUGAAACAGGUCGUGAAAGUUGGUCAAGGAGUGCAUGGCUUUGGGAGGAACAUCAGCGGGCUGUUUAAGCACACUCUAUAGUCGUUGGGAAGCGUGUCAGAACAGAGUCAAACAUCACAGCUGGGGCUGUGUCCGUCAGCUCAGCCGCAGUCUUAUCCCAAUAACAUGAUUUUCUAGAGGCCCAAGUAGCUAUUCCUAAGUGAUGUACAAAAAGAGCCAAGCUGAUUAUCAGCCAUUGUCGUCUCAGCUAAGCUUCGUUUCAGGGGAAGGCAUAACAGAGAUCAACAAUGGCAUACAUCAGUUAGUGCAACUAAGUUUACUUCAAUUCAGUUCAAUGAUAUCCUCUUUAACGCGGAGGAUCUCUGCAUAUAAGGAUUUGAUGACAAAGUGGAAACUCACAAUGGGUUUAUCACCUUUGCGUUGACCUUUUUCGAACCUUCCAGUCAUGGCGAAUUCCCAAAUCCAUAUAUCCGAAUUGAAGCCGGGGCGUAGUAAGCAGGUUGUGGUCACAUGUUUGCUUUGGUUUUGGAGAUCUAGAAUGUUAAAAGAGGAGGAAAGCUAAUUGGGGUUGAGAUGGUGUUUGUCGCAGAAAAUGUUAGUAACUGAUCUUUUGUUCCUUAUGUAUGUAAGUUUUGUUUGUCUUGAACAAUAAAAAAAUUGUAUUUGUAAUGAAUGUUUUGGAUAUC